GACCCUUCUCCCGUUUGACCUGUAGGGGCGUUGUCUGAAAGACCUCAGAUCAUCCUGGACCAGCUCAGACACACAGACAGAGAGCGCUCCCCCCCUCAGGUGCAGGGUUUGGUUCCGGCCUACAGCGGCGAGACGGACAGCGAGGGAGAGGAGGGAGGAGAGAAGGAUGAGAGGAUGACAGACUGGGCUAAGCUAGCCUGUCUGCUGUGUAGGAGACAGUUCCCCAGCAAGGAGGCUCUCAUACGACACCAACAGCUCUCAGAGCUACACAAGCAAAACCUGGAGCAGCGGAGGUCACAGCAAGAGGGGGGUAUAGGGGCG